UGAGGAAUAUUGCACAAUGGGGGGAACCCUGAUGCAGCAACGCCGCGUGAGCGAUGAAGGCCUUCGGGUCGUAAAGCUCUUUUCUGUGGGAUGAGAACAGGACAGUACCACAGGAAUAAGUCUCGGCUAACUACGUGCCAGCAGCCGCGGUAAAACGUAGGAGGCGAGCGUUAUCCGGAUUCACUGGGCGUAAAGGGCAAGUAGGCGGUAUACCAAGUUGGGCGUGACAAAUCUCGGCUUAACUGAGAGGGGUCGUUCAAGACUGGUAUACUGGAGGGCAGGAGAGGAAGGCGGAAUUCCGAGUGUAGCGGUGGAAUGCUCAGAUAUUCGGAAGAACACCAGUGGCGAAGGCGGCCUUCUGGCCUGCACCUGACGCUGAGAGGCGAAAGCUAGGGGAGCGAACGGG
rnacentral:rRNA from 1 species